rfam:Lactococcus lactis subsp. cremoris plasmid pJW565 DNA, LlaBIIM, LlaBIIR genes and orfX
UAUAAAAUACGCUCCUUUGCGUGUUUGAAAUAGGCAUAGAGAAAGUCAUUUUGCCGUGAAUUUUCUCUAUGCUUUUAUUAUAUCA